GGCUCCGGGCGCCGGUCGCCGGCGGGGCGCGCAAGCGCGUCCGCCGGAGGAAAGUCCGGACUCCGCAGGGCAGGGCGUCCGCGCCGGGAGGUGCGGAAUCCCUCUGGCAAACGGAGGGAAAGGAAAGUGCCACAGAAACCAAACCGCCCGGACGGCUUCGGCUCGUCCGGGUAAGGGUGAAACGGCGGUGUAAGAGACCACCGUGCGGAGGCCGAGAGGCGCCGCGCAAGGCAAACCCCGCCCGGAGCAAGAUCAAAUAGGGAAUCGCAGGGGCGGCCCGUCCCGAUGCGCGGCGACGCGCGGCGAUUCCGGGUUGAUCGCUCAGACAAAUGACCGGGCCCGCGCAAGCGGGCGACAGAAUCCGGCUUAUUCGCCCGGGGUCCCGA
rnacentral:RNase_P_RNA from 1 species